UGUCAAUUUCAGAGUUGAAAGAGAAUCAUCCUGAGUUUGGGCUUGUUCUUGACACCAGUGGUGAUAAGCUUCCUAAUACAUUCAACUUGGCGUACAAGAGUGUUCCUGUGCAUGAUGUAACUGUAGGAUCAUAUAUCUUUGUUGGUGCUGGUGAGAUUAUUGAUAUUGGCAAAAUUCUGCCAUUGUUCAUGGAGCUUCAAACUUUAGGUGACAAGACGUGAAGAACCAUGCUCUGCAAAGUGUCUUGUUUUCAAUGUUGCAAGUGUUUGACACUUAUUAGAAGCUUCUCCAUGAGAAAGAAGAUGUAUGAACAUGAUAGAGUUUGUAAUUUGUAGUUUAUAUUUUGGAGAUUUAUAA